GUCUCAUUUAUUUAUUCUAUUCACUCUCGGCAUCCUUCAUCUUCUCCUUCUCUCUGAUCCCAACUCCAUUGUCACCCCCACCUCUUCUUUCUCUGCAAUGUACCCAUUUCCUCAUUUCUCACUCCCUUCAUAAAUUUUCCAUCUGGGUUUUGCUGGUUUUUGUUAGGUCUCUGAGAUUCUGGCUGAAAUCGUGGUCUAUUCGGUGGCGAGUCUUCUCUGUUUGGAUUGCAUUGAUCUUGUAAACUUUUCCGUCUGGAUCUGUUUGGUUUGGUUGGUUUUGACUGCAUUUUCUCUUAGUUGUUGCUGUGCUCUUGGAUUCUCCAUUUGGGUGGGUCUACUUGGAUUGCAUUUCUCUGUGCAAUUGGGUCUGUGAUUUUUCUGAUUGGAGCGUGCGAUCUGGGGCUUCUAGUGCCUUUGCUCGGUUAGUAAAGCAGCAGAAGGCACCAUUUGUUCAAGAACGCAGUUCAAACAUUUAGGAGCCAUUUGGGGUUGACAGCAAACAGUUGUGGCUUUAGGGGAAGGAGGGGCUGUGGCCUGUUAAAAAGGCUGUCCUGGGUGGGAGAGUCAGUCUUCGUGUUCAAAGACCUGAACCAGAUCUGCAGUAGAAGGAGUUCACAUUGAUGGCUUAAUUGGUUGGAGCUUUCCUUUUUGGCCAACAGAGCCUCAUUGAUUGAUUCUUUGAUUUGAAUCUUUUUGCUUUUUCGUUGAAUCUCAAGAUUAGCAGAGGUUUUAAUUUAAUGGUCUUUGUGAAAUGAAAUUCUCAAUGAUUCCUCUGGUAGUCAUCACGAUCGAUUAUGAAAUCAGAAAGGAUUAAUCAAGAUAUAUUUUAUUUCCUGUGUUUAUCAAUCCCAUUUUUGUUUUGUUUAAUUUUCUUAGAAGCUUUUUCUAUGUCCUUGAUUUUCUUGAUAUUGUUUCCCACUCGUAGAGAUGGGAGGCUGCUAAAUUAGAAGCUAGCGGGGCAUCUGCAGCAAGGUGUUAGGAUUUAGGCGGUAUCAAAGAGAUAGGAGAAGCCAUUGUUGAAGUUUCAGACAUCUGAAGAACGGUUACAAGUCAUUCGUAAAAUCCAACUUCUCUUCAACAUUCCUCCUUGGGGUGGAAAAGCUGGGCUAAGAAGAAAGAAGGAAGCUGUGAGGGUCUCUUUGCGGGAGGUUUUGCAGGAGAGAGAGAGCUGGGUGAGAGGAAAAAUGUACGAGCUGUGAGGGCCACCCACUUCUCUCACUCGGGCAUCAGGAAGUCCUUUUCUGAGAUUGCCCUCCAGACGAGAGAAUCCCUAAAAAGGCCCUAUUUUCCUCUGCCACUCUCAAUCCUCGCAGUCCGUGGGGUGCUUUGUCUGGUCAAGGGCACCUAGAGUUGUUCUCUUACAUUAAAGGCCUACCCUGCUUCAAAUCCAAUCAGUAGAUGUUUUCUUCAUCCUUGAUGAACUCGGGUUAAUACAAUGCCCUAUUCCAUUCAUAUUUCUUGGAGCAAAUACUUCACUUUUAUGUAGGUUUUUCAGACUUCAUUAGCAAAUGUGAGUCACCUAGGUACUAGGUAGUAAAAAUGAGAGUCGGGAGUUAUAGUGGAGGGAUAAAAGCGUUGCCUUUGUAUUGCCACAACAUUUAUUGGUAAUCCAAAGAUGAUCAUUUUAGAUGAAUUAGUAUGUAGACUAAAACUUUUUCUUGGUGCAUGUUUCUAUAUUUUAUUUUUAGACAAUUGGUAUGAACCCAAUAACAAGAAGGCAUGUGUGGGGCAUAAUAGAGAAUGCAAAGAAAGGGUUGCUAUUGAGUGUGAUAUUGGGACAAUGACAUACCAUUUUUUUGCAUUGUCUAUUAUGUCCCACACAUGCCUCCUUGUUAUUGGAUCCAUACUAAUUGUCUAGAAAUAAAAAGAAACUCCAUAUGAAUCAUAAAACAAAUAAAUUAAAGAAACAUGAACCAAGAAAAGUCUCUAGUCUACAUACCAAUUAAUCUAAAAUGACAAACUUUGGAUCACCAAUAAGUGUUGUAGCAACAUUAAGAUAACAUUUCAUUCCUCCACUAUAACUCCCAACUCUCAUUUUUGCUACUUGGGUGAGUCUCACUUGUGCUAAUAAAUUCUGAGAAAUCUGCAAAGAAGUAAAGCAUUUGACCCAAUAGAUAUGGAUAGAAUAGAGUCAUUGUAUUAACAUGAAUUCAUACCAAUGGUAAGCUUCAUUGCAUUGAAACCUCAAUUAGUUUGAAGUGUCGAUUUGGAUUUGGUUCUAUUGCCCAUGUGAGCUUCAUCGAAAGGACGAGCAAGAAUACUUGCCCCAAUGAGGAUGCAGUUACCAUGCCUUACGGGAAAGCCGUGAAGCAGUUCUUUAAAUAUGUAAGUCUAAUUAAUAGAGAUUGCUCAAACAUAUCCUUAGACUCCCAAAGUUUGGUUUCUGAUUUUUUUUUAAUGUUUUUUUACAGCAUUUGGAUUAUAUGGGUCACGUCCUAUUGGUUAUGUAAUAAAGAGUGGUUGAUGUUGCACAA